rnacentral:rRNA from 1 species
AUUCCUACGGGAAGCAGCAGUAGGGAAUCUUCGGCAAUGGGGGCAACCCUGACCGAGCAACGCCGCGUGAGUGAAGAAGGUUUUCGGAUCGUAAAGCUCUGUUGUAAGAGCAGAACGUGUGUGAGAGUGGAAAGUUCACACAGUGACGGUAACUUACCAGAAAGGGACGGCUAAAUACGUGCCAGCAGCCGCGGUAAUACGUAGGUCCCGAGCGUUAUCCGGAUUUAUUGGGCGUAAAGCGAGCGCAGGCGGUCGGAUAAAUCUGAAGUUAAAG